GGGGGGAGGAGGGGACCAAAUAGAACCUUUUAGCAAAUUUAUUACCAUAAACUACUGUAUUUGAAGUUUUCAAUUGAGAAGCAUUUGAGCUUUUAUGUGAUACGGAGUAAUAUAAAAUGAAUUUACAUCUCCCUUUUGCUGCUCUUUAACUGAUCUAAUUAUUUAUUACAUAUACCACAAAAGCUCACUUGUAUACAAAAACCUCCCUUAUGUAGUGAAUAAUUUUUCCUUUGAUCUCACUACUUAAGAUCUUAUUUAACAAAAGCUUAUUUGCUUUCAUUUGGUAAGGCGUCUUAUGCUGAGGCAUGGGGAUUUUAGGUAAUGUGCAUAAGACUCCUAACCAAAUGAAAGAUGCUCAUUCAUGUAAAAAGCAAAUAAGCUUUUGGUAAUGUGCAUUGUUCCAGUACCGAAGUGCAGCUGUGGAGUCCCAUAACGGAUUUAACUUGGAUGUGAAAGAUGCUCAUUCAUUCAGUUGGAUUCCAACCCAGCUACAUUGACUGUUGCACUUAUCUCCUUGUGAUAUCCAUGGAGGCCAACAUCAGAAAAGCUAUGGUAUUAUUGUUCAAGAGGCUGAGCCUGGGACAUGACAUUCUGUUCUCUUCAGUGGAUGUGGGACUUCUUUCAUCUCAGCAGAUUGGCUUAGAGUCAAUGGCACAAUCCUACUCUAUGAUGUUGACAGUUUCUGGUGCCAACAUCGGUGUCAAAUCCGAUGUUCUAGUGGGCAAAAUAUGAGGAUAGCUUGUUCUUCCACUUCAGUGGUCAUUGUACACAAAUUCCUUCAGAAGAUGGUGACAAAUUGUUGGAAAGAAUUGCACAAUGAUUUCAACCUUACCUUUGAUACGAGCCUACUGCUAAACGGUUCCUUUGAGAACAGAGGAGAUUUCAACGGGCAUGGCCAAAUAGGUUGUUGGAGUAGUCUUGGGGCACCUACAGAUGCUGUCCAUUUGAUGCUUGGGAAGCAUGAGAGCAAUCAGCAACCACCACUCCUCAUAUUGGUGAGAGGUUGAAGCUACAAAUAUAUGCUCAGCAUCUGUGCUUGUACUGCAGUGAUAAAAAUCCUCCUAUCACUUUCAGGGCCAAACUGCUUAAGGUCGCCGGCUGUUGUUCGGCAGAAGAUUUGUCUGGUGAGAGGUCACUUUCAAAGAAACCUAGAAUUUUCUUGCAUCAUUUGGCAACCAGUUGGCAAUCUAACAACACAAUUUACAGUACUAAAUCAUCCAAGGGUGAAAAGCUGAGCCUUAGGAAACAUGGUGCUCUGCACGACUCCACGGGCUCCGCUAUGUAUCCUUGUUCUCACAAAGUUGUGCACAACAGACAAUCCAAGUCCGGUAUAUAAAACUUUUUUCUUAUUACUUUAUUAGUGAUAAAAUAUGAGUAGUAUAUAGAGUAUAGACUGCAAUAUUUUAACUCGACUAGAAUCAAUCAAGAGUAUUGACUAUUGACGAUACAAGUUUGAUAAUUUCGACCUAUUUGCAUAAUGCAUUUGAACCAUCUGAUUUGGCUUCUAUCUUUAGAUAAAUCUUCGCUAAUUUCCUCUUCAGGAAUUUCACACGCCUGUCUAGCAUGAUUUCCUCUUUAUCAAGCCGGUUGAUAUUGUGUUGCUUAACCUUUUAUUGUUUCCUUGUUCUGUCAAUUACAGUUCUGAUGUACUGUGCAUUUACCGUAAUAGUAGCAAAAACCGGGAAGUAGCAAUCCAUGGAAUAAGACAAAAAAAAAAAAAAAAAAAAAAAA